rnacentral:rRNA from 1 species
CCUACGGGUUGCACCAGUGGGGAAUAUUGCACAAUGGGCGCAAGCCUGAUGCAGCCAUGCCGCGUGUAUGAAGAAGGCCUUCGGGUUGUAGAGAACUCUCAGCGGGGAGGAAGGAGUUGUGGUUAAUAACCACAGCAAUUGACGUUACCCGCAGAAGAGGCACCGGCUAACUCCGUGCCAGCAGCCGCGGUAAUACGGAGGGUGCAAGCGUUAAUCGGAAUUACUGGGCGUAAAGCGCACGCAGGCGGUCUGUCAAGUCGGAUGUGAAAUCCCCGGGCUCAACCUGGGAACUGCAUUCGAAACUGGCAGGCUAGAGUCUUGUAGAGGGGGGUAGAAUUCCAGGUGUAGCGGUGAAAUGCGUAGAGAUCUGGAGGAAUACCGGUGGCGAAGGCGGCCCCCUGGACAAAGACUGACGCUUAGGUGCGAAAGCGUGGGGAGCAAACAGGAUUAGAUACCCUUGUAGUC